UAGGAUAGCCGAGAUGGUACCCUGCUCAAU
rnacentral:piRNA from 1 species